UUGAACGCUGGCGGCAGGCCUAACACAUGCAAGUCGAGCGGUAGCACAGAGAGCUUGCUCUCGGGUGACGAGCGGCGGACGGGUGAGUAAUGUCUGGGAAACUGCCUGAUGGAGGGGGAUAACUACUGGAAACGGUAGCUAAUACCGCAUAACGUCGCAAGACCAAAGUGGGGGACCUUCGGGCCUCAUGCCAUCAGAUGUGCCCAGAUGGGAUUAGCUAGUAGGUGGGGUAACGGCUCACCUAGGCGACGAUCCCUAGCUGGUCUGAGAGGAUGACCAGCCACACUGGAACUGAGACACGGUCCAGACUCCUACGGGAGGCAGCAGUGGGGAAUAUUGCACAAUGGGCGCAAGCCUGAUGCAGCCAUGCCGCGUGUGUGAAGAAGGCCUUCGGGUUGUAAAGCACUUUCAGCGGGGAGGAAGGCGAUAAGGUUAAUAACCUUGUCGAUUGACGUUACCCGCAGAAGAAGCACCGGCUAACUCCGUGCCAGCAGCCGCGGUAAUACGGAGGGUGCAAGCGUUAAUCGGAAUUACUGGGCGUAAAGCGCACGCAGGCGGUCUGUCAAGUCGGAUGUGAAAUCCCCGGGCUCAACCUGGGAACUGCAUUCGAAACUGGCAGGCUAGAGUCUUGUAGAGGGGGGUAGAAUUCCAGGUGUAGCGGUGAAAUGCGUAGAGAUCUGGAGGAAUACCGGUGGCGAAGGCGGCCCCCUGGACAAAGACUGACGCUCAGGUGCGAAAGCGUGGGGAGCAAACAGGAUUAGAUACCCUGGUAGUCCACGCCGUAAACGAUGUCGACUUGGAGGUUGUGCCCUUGAGGCGUGGCUUCCGGAGCUAACGCGUUAAGUCGACCGCCUGGGGAGUACGGCCGCAAGGUUAAAACUCAAAUGAAUUGACGGGGGCCCGCACAAGCGGUGGAGCAUGUGGUUUAAUUCGAUGCAACGCGAAGAACCUUACCUGGUCUUGACAUGAACAGAACUUUCCAGAGAUGGAUUGGUGCCUUCGGGAACUGUGAGACAGGUGCUGCAUGGCUGUCGUCAGCUCGUGUUGUGAAAUGUUGGGUUAAGUCCCGCAACGAGCGCAACCCUUAUCCUUUGUUGCCAGCGGUUAGGCCGGGAACUCAAAGGAGACUGCCAGUGAUAAACUGGAGGAAGGUGGGGAUGACGUCAAGUCAUCAUGGCCCUUACGACCAGGGCUACACACGUGCUACAAUGGCAUAUACAAAGAGAAGCGACCUCGCGAGAGCAAGCGGACCUCAUAAAGUAUGUCGUAGUCCGGAUUGGAGUCUGCAACUCGACUCCAUGAAGUCGGAAUCGCUAGUAAUCGUAGAUCAGAAUGCUACGGUGAAUACGUUCCCGGGCCUUGUACACACCGCCCGUCACACCAUGGGAGUGGGUUGCAAAAGAAGUAGGUAGCUUAACCUUCGGGAGGGCGCUUACCACUUUGUGAUUCAUGACUGGGGUG
rnacentral:rRNA from 1 species